rnacentral:rRNA from 1 species
AUUCCAGCUCCAACAGCGUAUAUUAAUGUUGUUGCAGUUAAAAAGCUCGUAGUUGGAUUCCUGGCUCGGGGUAACCGGUCCGCCUUGCAAAAGGUGCGCACUGUGUGGCCUCGGCCAUCCUUGGGAAGAGCAGCUCUGGCAUUUAGUUGUCGGGGUUGGGAUUCCCAACUUUUACUGUGAAAAAAUCGGAGUGUUCAACGCAGGCUUACGCCUUGAAUACAUUAGCAUGGAAUAAUGAGAUAGGACUUUGGUGGUCUAUUUUGUUGGUUUGCACGCCGAAGUAAUGAUUAACAGGGACGGUUGGGGUUCUUCGUAUUCAAUUGUCAGAGGUGUAAUUCUUGGAUUUAUGGAAGACGAACUGCUGCGAAAGCGUCGAACAAGGACGCUCUCAUCG